rnacentral:rRNA from 1 species
UACGUAGGUGCGAGCGUUGUCCGGAUUUACUGGGCGUAAAGGGAGCGUAGGCGGACUUUUAAGUGAGAUGUGAAAUACCCGGGCUCAACUUGGGUGCUGCAUUUCAAACUGGAAGUCUAGAGUGCAGGAGAGGAGAAUGGAAUUCCUAGUGUAGCGGUGAAAUGCGUAGAGAUUAGGAAGAACACCAGUGGCGAAGGCGAUUCUCUGGACUGUAACUGACGCUGAGGCUCGAAAGCGUGGGGAGCAAACAGGAUUAGAUACCCGUGUA